rnacentral:rRNA from 1 species
CCUACGGGAGGCAGCAGUGAGGAAUAUUGGUCAAUGGGCGGGAGCCUGAACCAGCCAAGUCGCGUGAAGGAAGAAUGUCCUUCGUAUUGUAAACUUCUUUUGUCGGGGAACAAAGUCGGGGACGCGUCCCCUGCUGCGUGUACCCGAAGAAAAAGCAUCGGCUAACUCCGUGCCAGCAGCCGCGGUAAUACGGAGGAUGCGAGCGUUAUCCGGAUUUAUUGGGUUUAAAGGGUGCGCAGGCGGGAGCUCAAGUCAGCGGUAAAAUUUAGGGGCUCAACCCCUGCCGGCCGUUGAAACUGGCUUUCUAGAGUGGGAGAGAAGUAGGCGGAAUUCGUGGUGUAGCGGUGAAAUGCAUAGAUAUCACGAAGAACUCCGAUUGCGAAGGCAGCAUACCG